rnacentral:sRNA from 1 species
UACAAGCGUCGACAAACUCACGCAAGCC